rnacentral:tRNA from 1 species
GGGGUUGUGGCUCAGUAGCAGAGCACUUGCCUAGCAUGUGAGAGGCCCUGGGUUCAAUUCUCAGCACCACA